rnacentral:rRNA from 1 species
AAUAGAUACCCGGGUAGUCCACGCCGUAAACGAUGGAUACUAGCUGUUUGAGAUUAAUUCUGAGUGGCUAAGCGAAAGUGAUAAGUAUCCCACCUGGGGAGUACGGGCGCAAGCCUGAAACUCAAAGGAAUUGACGGGGGCCCGCACAAGCGGUGGAGCAUGUGGUUUAAUUCGAUGAUACGCGAGGAACCUUACCAGGGCUUAAAUGUAGAUUGACGUAUUUGGAAACAGAUAUUUCUUCGGACAAUUUACAAGGUGCUGCAUGGUUGUCGUCAGCUCGUGCCGUGAGGUGUCAGGUUAAGUCCUAUAACGAGCGCAACCCCUGUUGUUAGUUGCCAGCGAGUAAUGUCGGGAACUCUAGCAAGACUGCCAGUGUAAACUGCGAGGAAGGUGGGGAUGACGUCAAAUCAUCACGGCCCUUACGUCCUGGGCCACACACGUGCUACAAUGGCCGGUACAGAGAGCAGCCACUUAGCGAUAAGGAGCGAAUCUAUAAAGCCGGUCACAGUUCGGAUCGGAGUCUGCAACG